rnacentral:rRNA from 1 species
AGGACGAACGCUGGCGGCGUGCUUAACACAUGCAAGUCGAGCGAGGCCUUCCCUUCGGGGGAGUGCCCUAGCGGCGAACGGGUGAGUAACACGUGGGCAACCUGCCCCUAGCACUGGGAUAACUCCGGGAAACCGGGGCUAAUACCGGAUAUGACCUUUGAGGGCAUCCUCUUUGGUGUAAAGGAUUCUGGCUAGGGAUGGGCCCGCGGCCUAUCAGCUUGUUGGUGGGGUAAUGGCCUACCAAGGCGACGACGGGUAGCCGGCCUGAGAGGGCGACCGGCCACACUGGGACUGAGACACGGCCCAGACUCCUACGGGAGGCAGCAGUGGGGAAUAUUGCACAAUGGGCGAAAGCCUGAUGCAGCGACGCCGCGUGAGGGAUGACGGCCUUCGGGUUGUAAACCUCUUCAGUACCGACGAAGCGAAAGUGACGGUAGGUACAGAAGAAGACACCGGCCAACUACGUGCCAGCAGCCGC